UACGGAGGGGGGCUAGCGUUGUUCGGAAUUACUGGGCGUAAAGCGCGCGUAGGCGGCUUUGUAAGUUAGAGGUGAAAGCCCGGAGCUCAACUCCGGAACUGCCUUUAAGACUGCAUCGCUAGAAUUGUGGAGAGGUAAGUGGAAUUCCGAGUGUAGAGGUGAAAUUCGUAGAUAUUCGGAAGAACACCAGUGGCGAAGGCGGCUCACUGGACUGGUAUUGACGCUGAGGUGCGAAAGCGUGGGGAGCAAACAGG
rnacentral:rRNA from 1 species